UUGAAAUCGUUAGCUGUUGCUCCAAUUUUGACGUCUAAAUAGUGGGUCCGUGUUGUUUACGAUGUUGAAAGGAGGUUUUUCCCCUAUUGAAAAUUGUUUGGUUGUCGCGUGAAAUGAUUUAUUUAUUGUUAUUUUCAACCUUUUUUUUUGCACAGAAAAUGUUCUUAGUGGAGCUGACGAGUUAAGCUGACAUUGAGUCUGCUCGAACUGGGGAUAAUCAUAGGAACGUUUGAGCGCUUGUUGUUGACUAAACGUACCAUGUUCUCACCAAGAUAAGACAGAAAGAUCAAUAGACUGAGAGAGGUAACUACUCAGUCAUGCAAGCAAAGGAGUGAAUGAACAUGGCUACCAAGAAAUCUCAAUAUAUUUAUAUAACAAACUGGCUUAUGGCGAUAAGGAGCUUAAUUGCUGGAUUUCUGAGUGUGUGAACUAACGACUGCACUUUCUUUUUUUAUAUAAGAAAAUUUUAUUACAGUAACAUAUUUACACUAUAUACACAGGAAGGAGGAAUUCAACAUCACAUUGUUAUACAGUGACAGGAAUACAGUGAAUCAAGUUAAACUCAGAUAAUUAACACCUUGAGACUUAUUUCAACAGCGACAUUUCAAUGUUAUAUAAACCACUAAAAGUGUUAGCAUGA